CAAAGCCGUAUUUUUGGAGAGGGUGAAACAGCCCUGGAGAAUCUGGCCUGAAACAGCUGACUUCACCCCAGUGGGACAGACGAGCCCCAAUGGAGAGCCAAGUUUAGACAGCCUCUCUCACCAGCCCCACCCUCUCCUUGGCUCCCUCCCUCUUAACAUAAAGCAGGCGAGGCGGCUAUUAUUAGUUUGGGGUGUCAGGCCUGUUCCUCUGCAAACGUCUCUUAAUAUCACCUCUUGGGGGUUGGCCCUGAAAACAAAGAGUCUUGUUGUCGACGCACCUUUAAAAAGCCAAGGGACAUAGGAAGCUGCCUUAUGUUUUUUUUUUUUGGGGGGGGGGAGUCUUUUAGCUGAGUGCUUUGCAAGCAGACGGUCCUAUGUCCAAUCCCUGGUUUCCAUCUCCAGGCAGGGCUAGGAGAGAUUCCCUGGGGUUUGAAACCCUGGGGAACUAAUCAGUGUUGACAAUCCUAAAAUAGAUGGAGCAACUCAGUCUAAUGGAUAUUUCUUUGGGGGAAAUCCAUGGGUCAGUGGAAGAGGACCUGCCUCGCAUGGAUGAAGCUCCCAGGUUUAAUCCCUGGCAUCUCCAGUGCCUUUCCCAAUCGCUAUCUCCCAAAUGCAAGAAAUCCGUUCGUUUCUAAGUGGAUUUGCUAUGGCGACGGAAGGCUUCAAGGCCGUUUCAUUGCGCAAACCGACAUUUCUGGUAUGUACUUGAACCCCUUUUGCAAAACAACGGCAGCCUUGUGGCACAUUUUGUGUGGAUUAAUUUAUUUCAGGAACAAUAACAAGCAGUAACGACGGAUGAGAAUGAAACACAGCAGGAUUUUAUUAUUAUCAUUAUUAUUAUUUGCACAUUUGUGUGUGUGUGUGAAACUUCUUCAGGAAGACUAAAGAAUACAGCCAUGUCAAAGGUAGUUUUUUUCGUUUUGUUUUAGAUCUGAAGUUCAAUGAACCAAUGUUUUGGAGCUGUCGAAAUGUGAGAACAAGAGGGAUGUGUUGCCUGCUACUCAUCACACAUAAGCCCAUUCUGGAGCCUGGCUUUGUUCUAAAGGAUUUGAAUUCAUGUCAGGACUGGCUCUACCAUUAGAUGGAGUGAAGCAGCUGCCUCGGGCGGCAGAUUUUGAGGGGCAGGCAGUGGCGGCAUGGAGUUGGAAGACAGCCUGCUAUGCCCCUUAGGCUAGCCUGCUCCCCUCACAGGACGGCAAGUAGACAGAAUAAAAUUUCAACUGCCAAUUGCAUCGGCUUCUGGAUCUGAAAUGAGGACCACACCUUGUCUUUUGCCUUGUUCUGCUUGAGUUCAGAUGCUUCAGGAAAAGAAAACCUCUAUUUCUCCUUCAUGAAAUGUUCUACUGUGUGUUCUUCUUCAGAAUACCUAGCCGUCACAGGUGAACAGAAUUUAAA